GAGUAACUCUUAUAAUUCAGAAAAUUUUAUUUAUAUAUUUUCUUUUUAGCUGAAGGUCAUUAUCAAUAAGGUUUUGUUUAAAAAAUGAGACAGAAUAAAAGUGUAUCAGCAGCAAAAUAUUGGGAAGGCGUUACAAUAUAACAUUUUUAAGAUGGUUGACUAUUUCAUUUGUCAUUAAUAUAAUAUUAAAAAUAAAUUAGCAGGAAAUCUU
rnacentral:lncRNA from 1 species